GCUGGAGGGAUGAGGAAGAAUGUGCCUUUCUGGUUAAAGAAACUUGACUGGCUGCAUUUACUGGACCUGGGAGAGAGAGCACCUGAGAACUCUAACCUGAAGUAGUGCAGGAAAGGAUCCAUUUUUGCCUGUGCAACUUGGCCAGAGGGCUGAUUUACAGAAGCCCUGCUCAGUGAGGUUGACAACCUACAGGGGGAGCCAGGAGCAGGAAAAAGAUUUCAGUAUCACACCCAGCCACUCAGAGGCAUGGGGAGGAGCCCUUUACUGCUGCAUAGGCUAAAGGAUCUGAGUAUGUGAGCUGACUGCAGUGAGGCUGCUGCCCAAGACUUCUCCCUGAGCCAAGAAAGGGAAGGACAUGCAUAUCAUUUGAAAAAUUUCUGGGCCUAGUCCUGCAAGGUGUCAGGUAGUAGUGAGUUAGACCCAAUGUAUGCCCAUUUGGGUCUACCUAAUGUAUGCCCAGUAGGUGCAGCAGUCAGGAGGAUGGACAUGUCUUCCCUUUGUGGAUUCUUAUGGAGGUUCUUCACAGUUUGAAGGCCAAGACUCACAGCCAUGGGAAGCG